GCGAAUUCCAGCAUUUUAUUUUCUUUUUUCCAUGCCACAUUUUCCUCCAUUGGAAUCAUGCACUGGUGCUGCUGUUGUCGCGUUUCCAAUACCGAGGAGAGAACGCCUUUAGUUGCUGGGAAGACAAGUUCUGCAAGACAAGUUCCAUUUUCUAGAGCUGUCAAUCAGCCGGUCGGCAAGAUCGUCUGUCGCCAUGUGGGCGUGCCUGAUCUUGACCAGCACUUCAGCGACAUUACCGAGACCUUCAACGAGCAGCACGAACACUACGAGUGCAUGAAGGAAAAUCUAAGUACCCUGAGGUACCGCUACCGCUGUCCCCCGGACAGCAGCCUGUCCGAGUGCCUGAAGAAGAUCAUGGAGGAGCACGGUGAGUCAGAGC
ensembl:lncRNA